CGAGCACGCGCGUGUGGCAUAUCAAUAAGCGGAGGAAAAGAAACUAACAAGGAUUCCCUAGUAACGGCGAGUGAAGCGGAAGAGCUCAAAUUUGAAAUCUUCAAGGUUUUACCUUGACGAAUUGUAGUUUAAAGAAGUGUUUUCUGUUGAAGUUUUGGUACAAGUUCUUUGGAAUAGGACAUCAUAGAGGGUGAGAAUCCCGUAUUUGACCAUUAUUUUCAGCUGUGUGAUACACUUUCAAAGAGUCGGAUUGUUUGGGAAUGCAGUCCAAAAUGGGUGGUAAAUUUCAUCUAAAGCUAAAUAUUGGCGAGAGACCGAUAGCGAACAAGUACCGUGAGGGAAAGAUGAAAAGAACUUUGAAAAGAGAGUUAAACAGUACGUGAAAUUGUCAAAAGGGAAGCGUUUGACACCAGUGUUGUUUUCUCGAAAAUCAAUUAAAAAAGGCUGGAUUUUGUGUUGUAUUGACCUUAAAAGCUUUCUUCACUCUUUUCUUGUCUUUUUUAAUGCACUUUUCGUUUAACAAGUCAACAUCAGUUUCAUUUGUUGUAAAAGGGUCAUUGGAAGGUGGCUUUCUUUUCGGAGAAAGUGUUUAUAGCCUUUGAUCUCUGCAACCGGAGAGACUGAGGUCUGCAGCGUAGACUCUUCGGGGUUAGAUACAUUUGUGCUAAGCUAUAGCUUUUUAUAGACAACUUGUCGACUAUAUUUAGUCUUGUGGCUUACUCGCUUAUGCUAUUUUACCUACGCUUAGGAUGUUGAGUCAUCACACAUCUCU
rnacentral:rRNA from 1 species